rnacentral:lncRNA from 1 species
GGCUUAACUCAGUGCUCCUCUUCUGUACAAGUGGGUAGUAUGAACACAAAGACAUGUGUCAGCCCCUCCUUCCUUGAGAGUUAAUGCCAUACAGCUUUCAGUCAGAAUGUCCCUUUAUUUUUUUUUAUAUUUUUUUUUCUAGCUGCAUCACAUGAGAAACAUCUGACCUGAGAGCAAAUUAAAGGACUCCUUUAUCAACCCCCCGCACUGUAUCAUACAGGCAUCAGAAAUAUUUCUCGGUUUCUUUUUCUCUUCUUCUUUAAACAGAUCUAUGAAGUCCUUUCCUUAAAUGAUCUCUCACAGAUAAGAUUGUGGGAUAAAUCCUUUAGAUGACCCCAGGCUCAGAGAUGUAAGCAGACCUGUUCACAUGGGUAAACUCCUUGUGAAUUUGGGAUUGAGUCUAGCCUACAGAUCCCAACCUGUAGUCCAAACAGCCAGCACCACAGCAGAUGCAUUUGGCAGCUGAUGGCCAGUGAGAAGUUUUCC